rnacentral:tRNA from 1 species
GCGGGAGUAGCUCAGAUGGUAGAGCGCAACCUUGCCAAGGUUGAGGUCGCGAGUUCGAGCCUCGUCUCCCGCUCCA